UCUGCUGUCUACUUUUUGUCUUUGUUCUUUGAACCUUUAUGUUUUACCUCGCAUAAACUUUUUAAAAAUAGUUCUGUCACGAGUUAGUAUGUUGCAUGCUGUGACAUCCUAGUGUUUCAAAUGUUAAUUUUUACUUAAAGUGUGGAAAUCAGUUCAUCUCAUUGUACACAUCAUUCUUUUUAUGAAAUGUAUGAUAUGUAAGCCUGUGAAAGAUACCACUGUUGGCAUGUUUCUUUAUAGCUGUAAAGAGAUUUCACAUUUUGAGAGGUUAUAAAAGAGGGAAUAUAUCAAGCAAGAGAAAAACAAAGUAUGUAUUAAAAUGGUAUUAUUCUUCUUUAUGGCAAAGGUCUAAUGAUUCACUAAAUUCGACCAACAUGUUUUUUGAACUUUCUUGAUGGCUGACACUGUUUAAAGAAAAACUACCUACCGUUAAGUGCAGUAUUAUGGCACAGAGUAUAAUUGAACUCAUCAAGCAUUAGAACCUCUUCCUGGGCUUUCUUAUUGCCAUGCCCUGACCCAGUCUGUGUGUCCUCAAGCUCUGGUGGAGCAGAGGAUAGGGCCAUCAAGUUGUUUUCAAGGAAUUUUCAAAGCCUUAUGGGCACCAAAUGUUAAGUCUUAGACGUGGAAUCUCUUAUUCAUGAUAAUUAUUGCUGUUUCUUAAUUCUAUUUCAGUGCUAUUAUUAUUAAUAAAUUAUAUUUGGACAUAUGCACUUCAUUUAUUUUUUGUUAAAAGGAAUCAUCAAAAAAAAAAAAUUUAGCCACCUGUGACAACAUGGAUGGACUUGGAGGAUAUUAUGAUAAGUGAAAUGUCAGGCAGAGAACAACAAAUACCAUAUGAUCUCACCUGUGUGCUGGAUUUACAAAACAAAGCAGACGGACAAACGAAACAAAGCUCAUGGCACAAGAAUCCAAACUGUGAACCCAAAUGUGAAGAGAGUUGAGACUAUGAUGCUCUUUGAUGGUCAUGAUCUCACGGUUUGUGAAAUCGAGGCCCGCGUCAGACUUCAUGCUGGCAGCGCGGAGCCUACUUGGGAUUCUCUCUCUCUCUGCCUUUCCCCCACUCUCUCAAAGUAAAUAAAUAAACAUGAAAAAAAAUCUUCCAUUCUUGUUGUCUGAUUUACCUUAAAUUUUGUUUUCAAUUGCAUAAUUUCUUACAAUUCUUUUCUGGAGAACAAAGUUUAGAUGAUCAAUUCUUAAGGCAAGAUUAUGAACAUACUACCUUUAGAGUGAAUUUAUGUAUUCUCCUCUUGUCUGCAAAAGGUGAACACUGUACAGAGCCUCAUAUUAAUUUCAAGCCAGUCUUUCUUUGCUUUUUAUGUUCCUGAGAUGAAAAUGCCACCCUGGGGAAGCAAGUGAGCCUCAAGUUUGGUGAUCUUGGAUACCCCUAAAUUUUGCUGACUGUUCUUUGCCUCCUCGCCUACGUCCUACUGCUGUUCUCUUGACUACCCUAGAGCUGCCCAGAGCAUCCAUGCUCUGGCCUUCGCAGAUCGUAUGUGAGAUGGCAAAUAUUCUAAAACAUGAACGGCCAACUUGCAUAGAUUCUUGCGGUUUUGUGCAUUUUGCUCUCACAACAGUGUACCGGUGGUUAGAACAUCUGGAAUUUAUUUUCUAACCUGUUCUCUAGCCAGUCAUACCUCCAUGUCACCCCUGGUAAAGGAAGCCAAACCAAAACAACACCGUAGCCACCACCUUUGAUUGUCAAAUAUAGUGAAAUUUGUAGAAUAUUUUCUAAUUCAUGGAAGAAAAGUGAAUUUAUAAGGAGAAAGUCAGUACUUCUUCCCUAUUUUCACGUAUUUCUUUCUCUGCCAGUGGAAAGUCAGAUGAGGAGAUUAACUCUGAUUUAAAUUUGAACUGAGCAACCUUCACUGUAUACAUGAACAAUUUAUGUGAUUCUAAUGUAUUUAGUUUUCUUUGCUACCUCGCAUUUGCAUCUAGCUGAAGAAGUAACAAAAUUCUUACUGCUGUGGUCUCAGGUAUUUUGAAAUGGAAGAUGUCUGAAAUCUUGUAGGAAAGAUAGGUUUUUAUUAGUUACCCCUCCUGGCCAUCUCAGUGCCUCAGAGAAUGAAGAGGCAAUUUAGGAUAGCGAAACCUGGUAUUUUCAUGGUAACGUUCAUUGUUGGAUCAUCAUAUCGAUAUAACAUAACUUCAUAAAUAAAAUUUGCCACCCUUGGCACUUCCAAGCAUGAUAAAACAUUUGCGAAUUUGAAGAAGCAUUAACUUUGGCAGUACAAAACAAGCUAACGAUAUUGCUUAAAAGCGUAUGCUUUUGACUCAAAUCUGAACUUCACUGAUCCAGCAGUGAUCUUCAGUUUCACGUGGAGAAUAAUAUUAAACAAAGUACCCUUUUUAAAGUGGUGGUGGUGGGGAUUGCAAUAGCAAAGAAUGCUUUAAAUGUUGCAGUGUACAAAUGCUACAGUUUAUUUCUAAGCUCUUUCGCAAAUAUUUAUGUUUUCAUUAGUAUUAUUUCUAAUGGUUGUGUUGGAGGAUUCUUUACCUUAAUCCCCAGUGUUCAUUGUCUCGCCACUUCGAAGAAUGAAGGGGUGGACACGAAAUGAGCAGCAGGCAAAAGUUUAUUGGAGUAUAAGAUUAGAAAGGAAUAAUAGUAUGAAAGCUCUCUUGACAGAAAGGGGACAUUCAAAAGUAAUGCCUGCGGACUCUAGGCAAGGACCCUUGUUUUGUAAGGUUUGGGUCAGCGCCCCACUCUCUUUCCCCUUAUUCCUUCUCAGGUCCUACCCUUAUUGGCUUAAUAGCUCUAGGUACUGGGCUGUCCAUUCCUGAUUGGCUCGUUUCCAUUGCAUGAGGAGUGGUCUAUGGCCAUACUUAGGUUUUUAGAUACAUUCCUGAGGGGAACCUGAGGCGGGGUAGGUUGUAUCUGGUACAUUCUUAAGAGGAACCUUACAUCUGAAGGGUUUGCUGUGGUGAGACCCUCCCAGCAUUGUUCCAAAACACAUGUUUUCCCCACCCAGGGACCUCAGGUCCUAACCUUUCCCUCUCUAUUUUAUGCUAUCUUUCCCUAUCAUAGUUGUUUAUAAAAAAAUUGAAGCCGGGAAGGACUACCAAUAUGGAUUACUUCACUAACCGUUACAGUAACGGCAUUUAAUGAUUUAUAAAGGACAUAUGGCCAUUGGAGAUGGGUUUUUUUUUUCAGACAACUAUCUUAAGUGCAAUAAUUAAUAAUUAAAUAUCACCACUAUUCUUUAACCACACGAUAUAUAUUUAAAUUGCUACUACUUUAUACUGUAUAUGUUAAGUGUGUGUGUGUGUGUAUGUGUGUGUGUAUGUGUAUGUGGAGGGUGCUAAUCUAAUUGCCUGAGAUAGAUAUAAUGAUUUUUAAUAGAUUGUUAAAAGCCAAAUUAUCAUAGUAUAUUUGUAUAAUGAAGUGAUUAACAACAGAUCAGGUACUUUGGCAUAUGGAGUCUUUCAGUGGGUGUGGGACUGUCUUCAUACUUGGCAUUGUAUAUUUCUGCUAUUUCUCCCUUGGCUUCAAAAGGUUAUGACUCUGUUAAAAUGUAAUUUGAAACAAGAACUAAUUUCUUCCCUCAAUCUCAUGUGCACAUGUAUCUCUAACGUACUGUAUAUUUUGCACUUUCUAAUGAUGUGCAAUUGCAUUUGAUAUAAAAGUUUCCCAGAAGAAUGCAGUACAAAAUAAGAAUUGGGAAUCUGGUUGAUUAAAGUGGAAGGGUAUUCAAUACUAAAGUUUUCCUUUUUUUUUUUUCCCUUGCCGAGUGUGCUUAUGGUGGUGGUUAUUGCUAUUUGUACAAGCAAAAGCUGCCACUUACUUAAUGAUAGCUGAUGGUCUCUAGGGACUUUGCAAAAGCUUCCAAGAAGGCACAGUGAUUCCAUGAACCCAAAAUAUUUGGAAAUUACCUGGAAAAAUUCUGGCUCAGUUGUUUCCAGAUG